rnacentral:lncRNA from 10 species
GGGCGCGCCGGGAGCUCCGCCCGGCUCCUGUGGAGGAAGCGGCGAGGGCGAGCCGCGGGGUCUCGGCGCCUCUGUAUGCUUGCACUUAACGAGAACCCAGAGCGAACACGACCCACAUUUCUCUUUUUGUUUUAAGAGGAAAUAUAGGAGUUACAGCAUAGAAUUACAAUAUCUGGACAUUAGAAAUAACAGGUCCCGGUCACGGUAUGGCACCGCGCGACACACUUGGUCCCUGAGGCCUGGAUGCCGCUCAGCAAACGUUCGCGGAAUAGGGUUGGGUUUACUGUCCCCCACCGAGCCGGUUGCUCAUUCAUUCAGCAUAAUUGAAUACCUCCUGUGUGCCAGGCACUGAAUCAAGUGUCGGAGACAAUGUCCUGCCCUCAAGCUCCUGGCCGGUUACUUGACAACCUUCCGGGACCUCAACGCUAUGUGCCUACUGUGUGAAAGCAAAGUGCCAGGUGGAGGACACAAAGAUGGCGAGCGACACAGGAUAGUCCUUAACAAUUAAGCGUGACUAAUUUUAAUAACAAAUGAGAAUAUGAUGUGACAUCCGUUCCAAAUCCUGUCGUUCCAAGUAACUUCUUAAGCAUCUUUCACGAUACAGCCUCUGCUUGAAAGGAAUUAAAACAGGUACAAGCAUGGAAGGAGACGUUGCUAUCAUAUUUCAAGAAUAAGAAAAUGCUGUUUUGUGUGGUUGUGCAGCAGGCAAUGAAAUGAGCUUACAUUCAAGCUUCCGUGUUUUACUGAAACAACAGUCACAGAUGCAGUAGAUGUUAAAGGUUGAAAGACGAGUGCAGUAAAAGCAUUAUGAGGACAAGAAGAAAACGUAAAUAUUUGUGUUGUUUCAUUCUUUGUUGUGGUGGCAGAAACAGCCCCCUCUUUCUAAGAGUAAGGAAGGACUGAAAGGAGGAGAAACUAUGGGUUGCCUUUUCCUUCUGUCAUCUGUUCAGCAUUUCAUAGUAAAACCUUUGUUGAUUUAAUAAACAUAAUGGAUACUCAUUAAAAUAUUCAAACAGCAUAGAAAGGGACAAAGAAGAAAGCAGCCAGCAAUCCAAGUACCACUAUCCAGAAAUAGCCAGUGAUAUCUCUUUAUGUGUGGAAAUACAAUGAAAAUUGAGUGAGAGACAUACACAGAGGAAGAAGAAAAAGAGUAAGUUAUAAAAGAAGCAAUCAAACUCCAAAUGGUGCUGCAAACUGAACCCCACAUGGACACGCCAUUCUUCUGAGGACCCUUAGAUCCACCCCAGGAGGAGCCCUAGCUGCUGUUCCCCAUUCGAUGCCCCUUUUCAGCCCCAACUGGACUCCAAGUGCCACGAGAACAGAGAUUGGGUCUGGUCCCCAGCUUCAGUGCCUCCAAGGCAGAAACUCAAGAGACGUUGUUGAACUGUCAGCCUUUACAUUUAUGCAUUACUAUUGAAGGCCUGGAAUAAAUGGAUCGUGUUUUACCUGUUAUCUUGCUCAUCUCUAUUACUGCUUCAUCAGCAGCUCUUCCCAAAGCAAUAAAAUGAACAAUGGCCCCA